rnacentral:rRNA from 1 species
CCUACGGGAGGCAGCAGUGAGGAAUAUUGGUCAAUGGCCGGAAGGCUGAACCAGCCAUGCCGCGUGAAGGUCAGUGCCCUAUGGGCGUUAAACUUCUUUUGUGCGGGAGCAAUAAUGGUCACGUGUGGCCAGACGAGAGUACCGUACGAAUAAGCAUCGGCUAACUCCGUGCCAGCAGCCGCGGUAAUACGGGGGAUGCAAGCGUUAUCCGGAUUUAUUGGGUUUAAAGGGCGCGUAGGCUGUGAGGUAAGUCAGCGGUGAAAUGCCCCCGCUCAACGGGGUGAAGUGCCAUUGAUACUGCCUGGCUGGAAUGCGGAUGCCGUGGGAGGAAUGUGUGGUGUAGCGGUGAAAUGCAUAGAUAUCACACAGUACACCGAUUGCGAAGGCAUCUCACGAAUCCGCGAUUGACGCUGAUGCACGAAAGCGUGGGUAUCAAACAGGAUUAGAUACCCCUGUAGUC